UACAGAGGUCCCAAGCGUUGUUCGGAAUUACUGGGCGUAAAGGGCUCGUAGGCGGCCAACUAAGUCAGACGUGAAAUCCCUCGGCUUAACCGGGGAACUGCGUCUGAUACUGGAUGGCUUGAGAUUGGGAGAGGGAUGCGGAAUUCCAGGUGUAGCGGUGAAAUGCGUAGAUAUCUGGAGGAACACCGGUGGCGAAGGCGGCAUCCUGGACCAACACUGACGCUGAGGAGCGAAAGCCAGGGGAGCAAACGGG
rnacentral:rRNA from 1 species